rnacentral:lncRNA from 1 species
AUGUUUGUUGGCUACAUAAAUGUCUUCUUUUUAGAAGUGACUGUUCAUAUCCUUUACCCACUAUUUGAUUUUGUUUUCUUUUGUAGGUUUGCUGAAGUUCUUUGUAGAUUCUGGACAUUAGCUCUUUAUCAGGAUUGUCUAAGUGCCACAGAGUUGAUAUCAUCAAGAACAGUUGGAGACAAACUUCUGGUCUUCAGGCACUCAUUGUCACUGCUGACAUGCCCAGAUUCACCUGGACAAUUCAAAUGCAUCAUACCCAUCUCUCUACCUGACAGAGAGAGCUUUAACAAUAGCCCCAAACUCCAAGCAUCAGCCUUCAUUCCCUAUGUUUCUGACCAAGUGAGCCUAAUUUUUUUUCUGUCAGACUGAAACACAAAAUAUUUAUGUUCCUCUCUCCCAUACACACAUACAUGUACUCACGUCUUAGAAAUAUACUACUGUCUUUUUUCCCCUGAAUAUGGAGUUAAAAUAAAAAGUAUUUUUCCAAUGGUGAC